UAGUUGGUAAGGUAACGGCUUACCAAGGCGACGAUCAGUAGCCGACCUGAGAGGGUGAUCGGCCACAUUGGAACUGAGACACGGUCCAAACUCCUACGGGAGGCAGCAGUGGGGAAUAUUGCACAAUGGGCGAAAGCCUGAUGCAGCAACGCCGCGCGAGUGAUGAAGGCCUUCGGGUCGUAAAACUCUGUCCUCAAGGAAGAUAAUGACGGUACUUGAGGAGGAAGCCCCGGCUAACUACGUGCCAGCAGCCGCGGUAAUACGUAGGGGGCUAGCGUUAUCCGGAUUUACU
rnacentral:rRNA from 1 species